rnacentral:tRNA from 3 species
GGUAGCUCAGCUGGUUAGAGCAAAGGACUGAACUUGUGUCAGUGGUUCGAAUCCACUUCUA